CGGGGAGAGGGUAUCAUGGCGGACCGGUGAGUAACGCGUAAAGAACUUGCCAUAUGGACAGGGAUAACCGAUGGAAACGACGGAUAAGACCUGAUAUAAUGGACUGAUGGCAUCAUUGGUCUAUGAAAAGCAAUGCCAUAUGAGAGCUUUGCGUCCUAUUAGCUAGUUGGUAGUGUAACGGACAACCAAGGCGAUGAUAGGUAGCCGGCCUGAGAGGGUGGACGGCCACAAGGGGACUGAGAUACGGCCCUUACUCUUACGGGAGGCAGCAGUGGGGAAUAUUGGACAAUGGAGGUAACUCUGAUCCAGCAAUUCUGUGUGCACGACGAAGGUCUUCGGAUUGUAAAGUGCUUUAAGUUGGGAAGAAAAAAAUGACGGUACCAACAGAAUAAGCGACGGCUAAAUACGUGCCAGCAGCCGCGGUAAUACGUAUGUCGCAAGCGUUAUCCGGAAUUAUUGGGCAUAAAGGGCAUCUAGGCGGGGUUUCAAGUCGACGGUGAAAACUAGUGGCUCAACCAUUAGCUUGCCGACGAAACUGAAAUUCUAGAGUAUUGGAAAGGUGGGCGGAACUACAUGAGUAGAGGUGAAAUUUCGUAGAUAUAUGU
rnacentral:rRNA from 1 species